UACGUAGGGGCGCAAGCGUUAUCCGGAAUUAUUGGGCGUAAAGAGCUCGUAGGCGGUUUGUCGCGUCUGACCGUGAAAGUCCGGGGCUCAACUCCGGAUCUGCGGUGGGUACGGGCAGACUAGAGUGAUGUAGGGGAGACUGGAAUUCCUGGUGUAGGCGGUAGAAAUGCGCAGAUAUCAGGAGGAACACCGAUGGCGAAGGCAGAUCUCUGGGCCGUAACUGACGCUGAGGAGCGAAAGCAUGGGGAGCGAACAGG
rnacentral:rRNA from 1 species